NNNNNNNNNNNNNNNNNNNNNNNNNNNNNNNNNNNNNNNNNNNNNNCUCCGUGCACCGGAUCUCCCCGUGCACCGGACUCUCCGUGCAUCGUCUCCUCGUGCACCGGAUGCUCCGUGCAUCAUCUUCCCGUGUGCCGGAUGCUCCGUGCACUGGAUCUCCCCAUGCACCAGACUCUCCGUGCAUCGUCUCCUCGUGCACUGGAUGCUCUGUGCACCGGAUCUCCCCGUGCACCAGGAGCAGGACAGUCCCCAGGCAUCAUCUCCCCAUGCAUUGGACUCUCCGUGCAUCAUCUCCCCGUGCACCAGAUGCUCCGGGCACCGGAUCUCCCCAUGCACCAGAAGCAGGAUGGCCCUGGUGCAACGUUUCCCCGUGUGCCGGACUCUCCGUGCAUCAGCUCCUCAUGCACUGGAUGCUCCAUGCAUCAUCUUCCCAUGUGCCAGAUGCUCCGUGCACUGGAUCUCCCCAUGCACCAGAAGCAGGUCGGCCCUGGUGCAUCGUCUCCCCGUGCACCGGACUCUCCGUGCACCGGAUCUCCCCGUGCACCGGACUCUCCGUGCACCGGAUCUCCCCGUGCACUGGGAGCAGGACGGCCCUGGUGCAUCAUCUCCUCGUGCACCGGAUCUCCCCGUGCACCGGGAGCAGGUCAUCCCUGGUGCAAUGUCUCCUCGUGCACCGGACUCUCCAUGCACUGGAUCUUCUCAUGCACCGGACUCUCCGUGCACUGGAUCUUCUCAUGCACCGGACUCUCCGUGCACUGGAUCUCCCCGUGCGCCGGGAGCAGGACGGCCCUGGUGCAUCGUCUCCCCGUGCGCCGGCACCGGCUGCUCCCUCGUGCGCCGCCUCCCCGCGCCCCAGCCGCUCUCGUGCGCUCACGGUCCCUCCUGCCUCGCUUGCUCCCUGUGCACCGGGACCGGGAUCUCCUUGUGCAUCACCUCCUUGUGCACCAGGACUGGGAUCUCCCUCGUGCAUCGUCUCCCCAUGCACCAGGAUCUCCUUGUGCACCAGAAACUCCCUGUG
rnacentral:lncRNA from 1 species